GAUGAACGCUAGCGGCAGGCUUAAUACAUGCAAGUCGAGGGGCAGCACAGAUAGCAAUAUUGUGUGGCGACCGGCGAACGGGUGCGGAACACGUACACAACCUUCCUUUUAGUGUGGGAUAGCCCAGAGAAAUUUGGAUUAAUACCACAUAGUAUAUUGGAGUGGCAUCACUUUGAUAUUAAAGAUUUAUCGCUAAAAGAUGGGUGUGCGUAUGAUUAGGUAGUUGGUAGAGGUAACGGCUCACCAAGCCUUCGAUCAUUAACUGGUGUGGGAGCACGACCAGUCACACGGGCACUGAGACACGGGCCCGACUCCUACGGGAGGCAGCAGUAAGGAAUAUUGGUCAAUGGACGGAAGUCUGAACCAGCCAUGCCGCGUGAAGGAUGACGGCCCUCUGGGUUGUAAACUUCUUUUAUGUGGGACGAAAAAGGGCCAUUUUUGGUCAACUGACGGUACCAUAGGAAUAAGCACCGGCUAACUCCGUGCCAGCAGCCGCGGUAA
rnacentral:rRNA from 1 species